rnacentral:rRNA from 1 species
CAGCAGCCGCGGUAACACGGAGGGGGCUAGCGUUGUUCGGAAUUACUGGGCGUAAAGCGCACGUAGGCGGCUUGGUAAGUUAGAGGUGAAAGCCCGGAGCUCAACUCCGGAAUUGCCUUUAAGACUGCCGAGCUAGUAGGUGAGAGAGGUAAGUGGAAUUCCGAGUGUAGAGGUGAAAUUCGUAGAUAUUCGGAAGAACACCAGUGGCGAAGGCGGCUUACUGGCUCAUUCUAGACGCUGAGGUGCGAAAGCGUGGGGAGCAAACAGGAUUAGAUACCCGCGUAGUCCCUGUCUCUUAUAC